rnacentral:rRNA from 1 species
CCUACGGGUGGCAGCAGUGGGGAAUAUUGGACAAUGGGCGAAAGCCUGAUCCAGCCAUGCCGCGCGUGUGAAGAAGGCCUUCGGGUUGUAAAGCACUUUCAGUGGGGAAGAAAGCCUUGGGGCUAAUACCCUCGAGGAAGGACAUCACCCACAGAAGAAGCACCGGCUAACUCCGUGCCAGCAGCCGCGGUAAUACGGAGGGUGCGAGCGUUAAUCGGAAUUACUGGGCGUAAAGCGCGCGUAGGCGGUCUGAUAAGCCGGUUGUGAAAGCCCCGGGCGCAACCUGGGAACGGCAUCCGGAACUGUCAGGCUAGAGUGCAGGAGAGGAAGGUAGAAUUCCCGGUGUAGCGGUGAAAUGCGUAGAGAUCGGGAGGAAUACCAGUGGCGAAGGCGGCCUUCUGGACUGACACUGACGCUGAGGUGCGAAAGCGUGGGUAGCAAACAGGAUUAGAUACCCCGGUAGUC